rnacentral:rRNA from 1 species
AUUGAACGCUGGCGGCAGGCUUAACACAUGCAAGUCGAGCGGGGAAAGGUAGCUUGCUACCUGACCUAGCGGCGGACGGGUGAGUAAUGCUUAGGAAUCUGCCUAUUAGUGGGGGACAACAUUCCGAAAGGAAUGAUAAUACCGCAUACGUCCUACGGGAGAACGCAGGGGAACUUCGGACCUUGCGCUAAUAGAUGAGCCUACGCCAGAUUAGCUAGUUGGUGGGGUAAAGGCCUACCAAGGCGACGAUCUGUAGCGGGUCGGAGGGGAUGAGCCGCCACACUGGGACUGAGACACGGCCCAGACUCCUACGGGAGGCAGCAGUGGGGAAUAUUGGACAAUGGGCGAAAGCCUGAUCCAGCCAUGCCGCGUGUGUGAAGAAGGCCUUUUGGUUGUAAAGCACUUUAAGCGAGGAGGAGGCUACUUAGAUUAAUACUCUAGGAUAGUGGACGUUACUCGCAGAAUAAGCACCGGCUAACUCUGUGCCAGCAGCCGCCGUAAUAC